rnacentral:lncRNA from 1 species
AUGGAUAUUGGUGUGCUGGAUGGCUGCCUUUGCUUGAUGUGUUACAGCGAGUCUAGCCAUGUGGGUGUUUGGAUUUUGAGGGAAUAUGAAGGAGAAUGGAGUAAGUUCAUUACGGUGCCGAAACCUGAGACUGUGGUGUCGUUUGAAUCUGUGAGGCCUAUGAUCUAUUCCAAGGACAGGAGCAAAAUUUUGCUGGAGAUAAACAAUGGGAAGCUAAUGUGGUUUGAUUUGGAGAGUAAGGGUUUUGAAACGCUUGGAAUAAAGGGUUGUGAGGGUCCGUGUAAUGCUGAAAUCGUCGUGAGUAGCCUUGUUUUGGGAUGUAAAGGUGAUCCUCGCAGAGCUCAAGAGAAGAAGAUGAUGCUGAAGGGUAACAAAAGGUUGUAUGCAAGUCUUUUUAAGAUUUUGAGGAUUGCUAAUGGUAACUUGCUUAAACAUCUUAUGUUAAAAUCUCAGGGGAGAUGGUUUCCUGUCCAAGGGAUUCAAGCUCAAGUUCUGAGCAAUGCAGAGGAACUUCAAAGCCCAAACCUUUAUCAAGGUAAGUGUAAUGAAUCUAACAUUUACAAUUCACAACACUGUAUAUAAGAUAUCUUACUAUAUUUCAAGUGUUUAGGAGUUUGAACUGUGUAGGUGCAGAAAUUGACUUUUGGUUUGAUUUUCAGGUUCAUGGCGUAGGCGGGAGAGGAAAUGGCUUAAAGGCAACUUCAUCAAAUUCGUAUUAGGUUUUAAUACUAAUUAGCUUAACCUAUGUAGAAGGUAUAUUCGGUCCUAAGAGAAGACACUGUGCUUAGGUAACUUCUAUUGAGUAUGGCAUGUUGCAAUAUAACGCUGUAGUUGGCUGCAUAUAUUAAAAAUCUAGUAAAAUUAAAUCUGGCUGCAAAUAGUUACUGAAGAAUAUUUGAUUAGAUAGACGAGAAUAUGAAGAAAAUCGUUGAUAAACAAAAACAUAAGAAACUAGCUACCAGAGUUGAUUCAAGAAGUCAACAGAGGAUUGACUGGCAAUCAGUUUUUUUUUUUUUGAUCAAAUUUGUCCGUGAGAUUGCGUUGUGACUUGAAAAGAUUAAUACAUUUUUUCUUACGAGAUUUAUUGGGCCGAGCAUACGAGGCCCACAAAUGUACUUGGAAACAAAUAUCUAAAUCACAACAGUGACACUGAGAGUAGCUUCCGAGAGAAAACAAUGGCGAAUCUCCCAAUGGAUAUCGUCAACGAUGUAUUCCUUCGUCUCCCUGCUACUACACUGGUCCGAUGCCGCCUCCUCUCCAAGCUUUGCUUCUCUCUUAUCGACAGUUCCGACUUCGUUGCCUCGCAUCUCAAACGCACGCUCGAAACCGAAGAGCACCUCAUGAUCCUGCUACGAUCGCCUCGCCUUCUACGUACGGUGUACCUCGACGCACCGGAUAAACUCUCAGACGUCGACCAUCCUCUGCAAACCGGUGGUUUCACGGAGGUUUUCGGUUCGGUUAACGGUUUGAUCGGUUUAACAAACUCUCCGGUUGAUUUAGCGAUUUUCAAUCCGUCGACUCGCAAAAUCCACCGGUUACCGAUUGAGCCUAUCGAUUUCUCGGAACGGUUGAUCGCUCGCGAGAAUGUGUUUUACGGAUUAGGUUACGAUUCGGUGAGCGAUGAUUACAAAGUUGUGAGGAUGGUUCAGUCUACGCAUAAAGGCGAUGGAGUCGUCGAAAGCUUUGGUCGCGCUUUCGAAAUCAAAGUUUUCAGCUUGAAAAGUAAUAAAUGGAAGAGAAUCCUUCUUCUCUUUGAGGUUCAGAUUCUUUUCAUAAAAUUAUAUUACCGUUUGCUUUACCGCCGCGGAAAUGGUGUUCUUGCUAGCAACAGUCUUCACUGGAUUCUACCUCGAAGUCGAGGAUAUAUAGCCUACAACACCGUAAUCAGAUUUGAUCUCGCCUCUGACGAUCUUGGAAUCCUCAGGUACCCACUGGAGCUUCUCCAUGAAGAUGAUAUGGACAUAGGUGUGUUAGAUGGCUGCCUUUGCUUGAUGUGUUACAGCGAGUCUAGCCAUGUGGGUGUUUGGAUUUUGAGGGAGUAUGAAAGGAAAUGGUCUAAGUUCAUUACUGUGCCGAAACCUGAGACUGUGGUUUCCUUUGAAUUUGUGAGACCUAUGAUCUACUCCAAGGACAGGAGCAAGAUUUUGCUGGAGAUAAACAAUGGGAAGCUGAUGUGGUUUGAUUUGGAGAGUAAGGGAUUUGAAACGCUUG